CAGACAUAAAAGCAACUAAAGUAACUAAGUAAUGGUAAAUAGCAGAUUCAUAGAAAUACACGCACAUAGAAAAUUCAAUUUAGAAAGGCAUAGAUAAGUGAUUAAAUACCAUAGCUACUAGUAACGGUAAGGAUUAAAGAUGGGUAGAAAUUCCUCAAAGGAGGUGCCGGAACUAACGGGAGACGAGAGUUAUAAAGUCGAGAAAAGAGGAUAAGGUGAGUCAAAAGAAAAAGAUCAAAUGUUUUAAUUGUAACGAAAUUGGACAUUUCGCCCGGGAGUGUAACACUCCCUGCAAACGUCACCAUCAAUAUUGUAAUUUAACUGAGGGGAAGGUCAGAGGCGACAAUCGGGUAAAAAAAAGAAGGGUCAGAUACAAAGAGAGCGAGAUUAAGGAGAAUCCUAACUGAGGGAAAACUUUGGGUUGUUAAAUCAGGGCUAUUUUCUGUUGUCUAGAUGCUGGAGCUAGAAAUAUAGACAACUGUAAAAUGGGUCUAUUUGCAGAGAAUCUCAGUCAGUUCCAUAGUGUUGGUGGUAUAGUGGUGAGCGUAGCAGUCUUACAAAAUGCAGUCCAGGGUUUGGUUCCCAGCUGAGGCUUUAACUAAAAAAUAUAUAUAUAUGAGUUUUUGGUUGUAAUUAAACUAAUUGUUUUGCAGAGAAAGUUAUAGUCACUAGUAUUGGUAUAAGAUAUAAACUGAACGUUUUAAAUAGUUUGUUUGGUUCAAAUUGAAAGACUAAUUCAUUCAACUUAAAAUAAGGACGAAGCGAAUUUUGAUGCAAGACGAUUUCUGUUCACUAAAUGAUCUGUUUGAAUAAUGUAUUGGGAAUAGAGUCGUAAUUAAAAUGCUAAAUCAAAGACGAGACAGUAACUUAAAUCAAAUGAAUUCUGAAUAAUAACAGGGAAACAAUUACGAUAGAUUUGUGCCCAUCGAAAUGUUCUUGUAAAUUUAGCGAAUUGGGAGAUGAGAGAUGUUGAUUGAUGUUGUAAACUCUAAUUCAGGAUUCAACAGAUGUGAUAAAUUAGGUGUGGUUUAUCGAACCCCAACUAUUGUUGCUGCAGGCAGCCAACAAUUAUUUACAAUUCAUUGAAAGUCGUUGCGGAUAGGGUCGAGGUUGAGCGCUUGUUGAUGACAUCACUCGCAAGGCACUUGUGUCGCCACGGAAAUGAUGUCGUGACUGGGGGUAACGGAGAAAAUUGUUUGUGUCUUAGAAGGAAAAUGCGUGCAUUAUUGUUUUGAGUCACUUUUCAGAAGUUGAUAAAAAUGUCCAAAUACAUUUUUAAAAGGAGUAUGUAAGUCGUCAGGAAAGAUGCUAAAAACUAGCAGCUGAUUUGCUAGUUGGGCAUCAUUGAUUUGUGGUGUUUAUUUGGACUGUAUUAGGCCAUGAGAAAGGGAGAUUGAAUGUCUGAAUCGUAAAACAUCGUGAUAAUGGAUUCUGAUGGUUAUUGAUUCCUGGUUUGAUUGUUUAUGUAAUGUUAGGGUAUUAAUGUUGAAAAGCAACCUCUAUAGUAAAACAUAAUUGCAUGUGUUUCGGGAACCUAGCUAGGUUGAAUUUGGUUAUUUGAGCUUUUCCCCUGAUACGUAGACAUCUGUAACAGGGGCAAGUUGUUUUUUCUUGAGAAACAUGCAGAUGGUGUUUUGUUUUAUUGAGAUGUAAACGUGAGUCUCUGAGUAAUUUUGUCAUCUGAAGCAUUAUAGUAGUGAGUUUUUGUAUAGUUUGUUUUUUGCUGAUAAAAGUGGUUUGUUUAUUUGGUUACUGAUGAUUGUUUAUUCUAGGAGUUGAUUUAACUUAAUUAAGCAUUUGUUCUGGUGUGUUUAAGUAGGAUUCUUUAUACCGGGACGGAUGGAAGUUAUCUAAAAUAUAGGUUUCCUGGGAUUAUAAUCUUGGGGAGAGUGAGGCCAUAAACGACCAAAUUGGAAAAUGCCUGGAAGUUUUGAUUAAUCAGGGUGGUAUGACCUAUUGACCUUAUCAUGGCUAUCUUUUGAGGUCUGAUCAGCCUCAGGGGAGAGUCAUUUGUAUCAUGAAUGUGGUCAUUUGGGUUAUUAGUUUUAAGGUAAAUUAAUUAUAAUGGAGUUUUAGUUUGGGGUUAGAAUUAUUGUUUAAACCGCAAAUGAGAAAGUUGUUCAGGAUUCUGUUUUACAACAUUAGCUGUGAAGUUUUUUGAAUGGGCUAUUAUUGAUUUGGUAUUAUAACAGAGAAAAAAAUCCUAUUUAUCAUUGAGAAUAAAUAGGGGAAGAUAAGAUACAUUGAGGUUUGGAUAGGAGAUAUAUUAAGCCAAUAGGGCAGGGAAUUACAUAGAAAAAUAAGUUUCAGUUCUUAGGGGUGAUAAAUUACUGUAGAUAAGGUAUUCCACACUUUGCAACAUAUAUUAAAUUCAUGUUAUUGUCAGAAUACUGAGGGUCCCUGAAGGAAAGAACUUGUUAGUAUAGGAAGAAUUUUGAUAUGGUUAGACUUUGUUUGACUAUUAGGAGGUUUUUUAAAUAGUAUUAAAUUUAACAGGAAUAUAGGACAUCUGUGAUGAUUUAGGAUUAUUGUUAGGAUUAAGAUAGAUUGAUUAAGUAAAUGUAAGGACUUUAGAGAUUGCCACUCAUAGACAUGUUUUUUCUAAAAUCAAUGACUUUAGAUAAAGUCAAACAGAAGCUUAGUGGUAUUUGAGAGAUAUGAGAGAAAAGGGUUACGGUUUAAAUCGCUAAAUAUAUAUAUUUAAGAAAAUGUAUAAGUAGCACAGAUACUUCUUAAAGUAGAUAAGAAACUUGACAGAGAAUUGGUACAGGAUUGACAUGAAUGGAUGCCCAAGGGAGAAUUGGACAUGUGGAAAAUGAAAGGGGCUCCUACAUGAUGAUGUCAGACAUAAGGAUAAUUUACUAAUCUUACCUAAGUCAUUGUUUAGAGUAGGCAAGGUUGUUACCUGGGCAGAGCCAGGUAACAAAGGGGGAUGGGUAAAUUGUGUUCUAGGAUAGGAUGUGACCUACAGGAUAAUUAACUUAUUAAAAAAAAUCUAACAAGUAGGUAUAGAAGUUAAAGAUAGAGUGCCUUGCGAAAGUAUUCGGCCCCCUUGAACUUUGCGACCUUUUGUCACAUUCCAGGCUUCAAACAUAAAGAUAUAAAACUGUAUUUUUUUGUGAAGAAUCAACAACA
ensembl:lncRNA